rnacentral:rRNA from 1 species
AACGAACGCUGGCGGCAUGCCUAACACAUGCAAGUCGAACGAGACCUUCGGGUCUAGUGGCGCACGGGUGCGUAACGCGUGGGAACCUGCCCUUAGGUUCGGAAUAACUCCCCGAAAGGGGUGCUAAUACCGGAUAAUGUCUUCGGACCAAAGAUUUAUCGCCUUUGGAUGGGCCCGCGUUGGAUUAGCUAGUUGGUAGGGUAAAAGCCUACCAAGGCGACGAUCCAUAGCUGGUCUGAGAGGAUGAUCAGCCACACUGGGACUGAGACACGGCCCAGACUCCUACGGGAGGCAGCAGUAGGGAAUAUUGGACAAUGGGCGAAAGCCUGAUCCAGCAAUGCCGCGUGAGUGAUGAAGGCCUUAGGGUUGUAAAGCUCUUUUACCCGGGAUGAUAAUGACAGUACCGGGAGAAUAAGCGCCGGCUAACUCCGUG